rnacentral:rRNA from 1 species
AAUGAACGUUGGCGGCGUGGAUUAGGCUUGCGAGUCGAGCGAGAACCGUAGCAAUACGGGGACAGCGGCGAAAGGGACAGUAACGGGUAGAUUAUCUGCCCUCAGGUUUGGGAUAGCUGCGGGAAACUGCAAGUAAUACCAAAAAAUAUCUCCGGAUCAAAGGUGUGAUUCCGCCUGAGGAUGAGUCUGCCUCCUAUUAGCUAGUUGGUGGGGUAACGGCCUACCAAGGCGUUGAUUGGUAGCGGGUGUGAGAGCACGACCCGCGUCAUUGGGACUGAGACACUGCCCAGACACCUACGGGUGGCUGCAGUCGAGAAUCUUCGGGAAUGGACGCAAGUCUGACCGAGCGACGCCGCGUGUGGGAUGAAGGCCUUCGGGUUGUGAACCACUGUCAGAGGGGAUGAAAUGCAGGUGGGUUCUCCCAUCUGUUUGACAUAGCCUCAGAGGAAGUACGGGCUAAGUUCGUGCCAGCCGCCGCCGUAA